rnacentral:rRNA from 1 species
AACGGAGGGGGCAAGUGUUGUGCGGACUCACUGGGCGUAAAGCGUGCGUAGGUGGUGCGAUGCGUCGGCGCUGAAAGCGCCCGGCUUAACCGGGCGACGGGCGACGAUACGAUCGCACUGGAGGCAGGGAGACGUUGGUGGAAUUCCGGGUGUAGUGGUGAAAUGCGUAGAGAUCCGGAGGAAUGCCGGUGGCGUAAGCGGCCAACGAGUCCUGACCUGACAAUGAGGCACGAAAGAGUGGGGAGCAAACCGG